UACGUAGGGUGCAGGCGUUAAUCGGAAUUACUGGGCGUAAAGCGUGCGCAGGCGGUUUGCUAAGACAGGUGUGAAAUCCCCGGGCUUAACCUGGGAACUGCGCUUGUUACUGGCAGGCUUGAGUGUGGCAGGAGGGGGGUGGAAUUCCGACGUGUAGCAGUGAAAUGCGUAGAGAUGUGGAGGAACACCGAUGGCGAAGGCAGCCCCCUGGGCUAACACUGACGCUCAUGCACGAAAGCGUGGGGAGCAAACAGG
rnacentral:rRNA from 1 species